rnacentral:rRNA from 1 species
UACGGAGGAGGCAAGCGUUAUCCGGAAUUAUUGGGCGUAAAGAGUCCGUAGGUGGCGAUUCAAGUCUGCUGUCAAAGCGUGGAGCUCAACUCCAUUAAGGCAGUGGAAACUGAAUGGCUAGAGUCCGGUAGGGGUAGCGGGAAUUCCCAGUGUAGCGGUGAAAUGCGUAGAGAUUGGGAAGAACAUCGGUGGCGAAAACGCGCUACUGGGCCGGAACUGACACUGAGGGACGAAAGCUAGGGGAGCGAAAGGG